rnacentral:rRNA from 1 species
UACGUAGGUGGCAAGCGUUGUCCGGAUUUAUUGGGCGUAAAGCGCUCGCAGGCGGUCCGAUGCGUCGUGCGUGAAAGACCCCGGCUCAACUGGGGAGGGUCGUGCGAUACGGUCGGACUCGAGGCCAGUAGGGGGACGCGGAAUUCCGGGUGUAGUGGUGGAAUGCGUAGAGAUCCGGAGGAACACCAGCGGCGAAGGCGGCGUCCUGGACUGGUACUGACGCUCAGGAGCGAAAGCGUGGGGAGCGAGCCGG